rnacentral:rRNA from 1 species
GAUGAACGCUGGCGGCGUGCCUAAUACAUGCAAGUCGAGCGAACAGACGAGGAGCUUGCUUCUCUGAUGUUAGCGGCGGACGGGUGAGUAACACGUGGAUAACCUACCUAUAAGACUGGGAUAACUUCGGGAAACCGGAGCUAAUACCGGAUAAUAUUUUGAACCGCAUGGUUCAAAAGUGAAAGACGGUCUUGCUGUCACUUAUAGAUGGAUCCGCGCUGCAUUAGCUAGUUGGUAAGGUAACGGCUUACCAAGGCAACGAUGCAUAGCCGACCUGAGAGGGUGAUCGGCCACACUGGAACUGAGACACGGUCCAGACUCCUACGGGAGGCAGCAGUAGGGAAUCUUCCGCAAUGGGCGAAAGCCUGACGGAGCAACGCCGCGUGAGUGAUGAAGGUCUUCGGAUCGUAAAACUCUGUUAUUAGGGAAGAACAAAUGUGUAAGUAACUAUGCACAUCUUGACGGUACCUAAUCAGAAAGCCACGGCUAACUACGUG